rnacentral:rRNA from 1 species
GACGUAGGGCGCGAGCGUUUGUCCGGAUUUAUUGGGCGUAAAGAGCUCGUAGGCGGCUUGUCACGUCGGGUGUGAAAGCCCGGGGCUUAACCCCGGGUCUGCAUUCGAUACGGGCAGGCUAGAGUGUGGUAGGGGAGAUCGGAAUUCCUGGUGUAGCGGUGAAAUGCGCAGAUAUCAGGAGGAACACCGGUGGCGAAGGCGGAUCUCUGGGCCAUUACUGACGCUGAGGAGCGAAAGCGUGGGGAGCGAACAGG